GCCCCCAUCGUCUAGUGGCCUAGGACAGCCGGUUCUCAGCCGGCGAACAGGGGUUCGACUCCCCUUGGGGGUA
rnacentral:tRNA from 1 species